AGAGAAUAGAUACCCGGGUAGUCCCAGCUGUAAACGAUGCAGACUCGGUGAUGAAUUGGCUUAUUGCUAAAAUUCAGUGCCGCAGGGAAGCCGUUAAGUUUGCCGCCUGGGGAGUACGGUCGCGAGACUGAAACUUAAAGGAAUUGGCGGGGGAGCACCACAAGGGGUGAAGCCUGCGGUUCAAUUGGAGUCAACGCCGGAAAUCUUACCGGGGGCGACAGCAGAGUGAAGGUCAAGCUGAAGACUUUACCAGACAAGCUGAGAGGAGGUGCAUGGCCGUCGCCAGCUCGUGCCGUGAGGUGUCCUGUUAAGUCAGGUAACGAGCGAGAUCCCUGCCUCUAGUUGCUACCACUAUUCUCAGGAGUAGUGGAGCUAAUUAGAGGGACCGCCGUCGCUGAGACGGAGGAAGGUGGGGGCUACGGCAGGUCAGUAUGCCCC
rnacentral:rRNA from 1 species